AGUGUUACCCGUUGAAUUGAUGAAUUUAUUCCCCAUUUGAAUCAGAACGACUAGAAAUGUAUCAGACAGGCGACGGCUGCAGCGCCUCACCUCAGACAGAAACAACCAAACCCAGAGAUGAAUGGAGAAUCCUUUCACACCAGCUGAUGCCUUGUGGGAAACAGACUGUGACCCAACUGGACCUUCCUCCCCGGCAUCCAAAAAUGGUGCUCUACUUUUUGACCGGCGCUAGAAAGAUACAUCUAGAAUGUCAGAGAGGCUGUGAGAAGGGAGAUAUAUUCCCAUAGAAAGACGAUUACUGAAGCAGACAUUCCCUUUUCAACUCAAUGACACAGUUAUGGGUGAACCCGGCGGCCAUUUUGAGUGAGUGUGAGUCCAUUUACACAGUUAUGGGUGAACCCGGCGGCCAUGUUGAGUGAGUGUGAGUCCAUUUACACAGUUAUGGGUGAACCCGGCGGCCAUGUUGAGUGAGUGUAAUUCCACGAGGGGGGAGAAGGGAAUCGGAGUCCAUUUACACAGUUAUGGGUGAACCCGGCGGCCAUGUUGAGUGAGUGUGAGUCCAUUUACACAGUUAUGGGUGAACCCGGCGGCCAUGUUGAGUGAGUGUAAUUCCACGAGGGGGGAGAAGGGAAUCGGAGUCCAUUUACACAGUUAUGGGUGAACCCGGCGGCCAUGUUGAGUGAGUGUGAGUCCAUUUACACAGUUAUGGGUGAACCCGGCGGCCAUGUUGAGUGAGUGUAAUUCCACGAGGGGGGAGAAGGGAAUCGGAGUCCAUUUACACAGUUAUGGGUGAACCCGGCGGCCAUGUUGAGUGAGUAUAAUUCCACGAGGGGGAGAAGGCGGCCAUGUUGAGUGAGUGUGAGUCCAUUUACACAGUUAUGGGUGAACCCGGCGGCCAUGUUGAGUGAGUGUAAUUCCACGAGGGGGAGAAGGGAGUUGGAGUCCAUUUACUCAGACAGUUAUGGGUGAACCCGGCGGCCAUGUUGAGUGAGUGUAAUUCCACGAGGGGGAGAAGGGAAUCGGAGUCCAUUUACUCAAGACAGGUAAAAUAAUUCAUCUCACUCAAGCACAACAUAUUUUCCAUUUAUCUUUUACAAUAAAUACAGUCUUACAAAGCAAAAAGGUUGUGAACACACAUUCAGUAGAAACACACACACAGACAGACAGGACCCCUCGGUUUAACCAAAUCCCCUAUGAGGGACCCUAUUCCCUACGUAGAGCACUAGAUAGGGAAUAGGGAGCCAUUUCAAAAAUGAACCCUCAUCAACACACCCCUUUUCAAAAACAAAUGUUUGUUCCUCAGAGAGCUGGACAGAGCAGGUAGAAAAACACACCCUCUUCAUAACUAGGUCUACCACACUUUAAAAUGUCUUCUCUCGUCCACAACCAGAAGAACCACAUCAUAACAGGAUCGCUAACCGUUCAAAAAAAAAAAUCAGCCUGCUUCCCCUCUCAUCUUUAAUGAAAACUAUAGCAGCAGUAGUAUUCAAUCUAGACGGAAUGUUACUGAAUCCCACAGGAAAGUGAAUAUGGGGGUCACGACCUUUUAGGAGCAAGAGACAGUGGAGCCCGUUGAACUUUCACAGUAAUAAAAAAUAAAAUCACAAAUGAACCAUGUUUUAUAACUAAAAAUGUGUUGCUACACAACGCAUGCAAAAAUAAAACAUUUCAUUUCAACGGUCACGUGUCUAGUCCAGGUGUGUCGGUGUGUCUAGUCCAGGUGUGUCGGUGUGUCUAGUCCAGGUGUGUCUCUGUUACAGCAUGUCUAGUCCAGGUGUGUCUAGUCCAGGUGUGUCUCUGUUACAGCAUGUCUAGUCCAGGUGUGUCAGUUUGUCUAGUCCAGGUGUGUCUAGUCCAGGUGUGUCAGUGUGUCUAGUCCAGGUGUGUCUAGUCCAGGUGUGUCUAGUCCAGGUGUGUGAAGAUAAAAUUCGUUGUAGACGACCCCUCUGGCAUCACAUGACAAAAUGGCCUCCUAUUUCCUUUCUAGUUCACUAGUUCAGACCAUCUAGCUGGUCAAGGUAGUGCACUAGGUAGGGAAUAGGGGCCUGGUCUAAAGUAGUACACUAGAUAGGGAAUAGGGGCCAUUCCAGAUUGGAGAGCUGUCAACGAGACAGGCAAGGAUAAAGAGGGUUCAAAGAGCACAGGACUGG